GAUGAAGAACGCAGCGAAAUGCGAUACGUAAUGUGAAUUGCAGAAUUCAGUGAAUCAUCGAGUCUUUGAACGCACAUUGCGCCCCCUGGUAUUCCGGGGGGCAUGCCUGUCCGAGCGUCAUUGCUGCCCUCAAGCCCGGCUUGUGUGUUGGGUCUCGUCCCCCUUCCCGGGGGGACGGGCCCGAAAGGCAGCGGCGGCACCGUGUCCGGUCCUCGAGCGUAUGGGGCUUUGUCACCCGCUCUGUAGGCCCGGCCGGCGCUUGCCGAUCAACCAAAACUUUUUUCCAGGUUGACCUCGGAUCAGGUAGGGAUACCCGCUGAACUUAAGCAUAUCAAUAAGCGGAGAA
rnacentral:misc_RNA from 1 species